CAACAACAUCAAGAAAAAAAAAAAUCUUCCCAUCAUUGACAUCCACAUUUUCACACCGAAAAAACUACCUUGGCAUCUGGUUGACCAGCCAAGUUCAUCACCAGAUCCACAGCCAGAUACCUCUCCAGUCUCCACUGCAGAACUCACUAAUCAGCCAAAAUCCAACACAGCAAAUACUUAAGAAAACCUACCUAUCCCAUCAAACAUGAAAAGACUUGUAAAAAUAAUCUUUAUGGUACUCAAUGCAACUUAUGUGAAACUAUCCAAAUAAAGUCAACUCUCCAAAAGGCCACCUUACUUAACACUAAGGUGAUUUUCAUUUUCUCAGUUCAUUAUUCCAGUCAAAGUGAGUUCAUCAAAUCAAUGAGUCAGUUAUCUCAGCAAUCACAUUCAGCCAUGUUCAAAUAUUCAAUGUCCCAAGUAGAGAAACCAUAUGUCAAUCAAUGCUUGAGUGACCAAACGACAAUGAAUAUGAGAGACUUCAUGCAGAUUUAGACCUCCAAAAUAAAAGGUCUUGCCUGUCUCUCUGCCUUUCAGUCAUAAUGUGGCUAACAGUCUCUGUGUUUUCUAUCCGUCAAUGUAACUUCCACUAUUUCGGCAUGAUCUUUAGUAACGACUUCAUGUCUGAUUAAGCAGGCCUAUAGCCAGUGACAGAAGAAGGUUUCGCUAUUCAUCAUGGAUAAAAGAAUCAAUUAGAGUAGCAUAAACAUCUUCUUUCAUCAAAGCUGUCAAAUCUUUUAGAACUUUGUCAAUUUUUCCAGCACUAGAAUGGGACUUGUCCCCUGCAACAAAAAUAUUUGUCUUCUGUCCCACUACAAUCCAGCUGCAUCCAGGCAACUUCUUAACUCCUUUCUCUCUCAUUAUCCUCCUUAAGGCAUUAACCUCAUCCCAGUUUCCUGAUGCAGCAUGAAUGUUAGAAAGAAGCACAUAGGGUGAAGAAUUUUGGGGUUCAAGUUCAAUGAGUUUCUCAGCAGCAUUUUGGCCCCUAACAUCAUCCCCAUGUAUUCUGCAAGCUGCGAGCAUUGUAGCCCAAAUCAUGGCAUGAGAUUCAAAAUUAAGUGUAUAGAUGAACUCUUCAGCUUCUUGAAGAAAACCCCACCUGCCCAGAAGAUCAACCAUGCAGGCACAAUGAUCCACCCUAGGCUGAAUCUUGUAAUAGUUAACCAUACUAUCAAAGAUAUAACGGCCUGCAGAUACCCUCCCUGCAUGACUGCAGGCAGUGAGAACACCAAGAAACGUGACAUCAUCAGGUAAAACAUGUGUUUGCUUCAUCUCAUCAAAGACCCUUAGUGCAUCUUCUGCAUAUCCAUUUUUAGCACAUCCAACUAUCAUUGAGUUCCAAGAAAUAACAUAAUUUUUACUCUGCAUUUCCUCAAAAACUUGCAUGGAACUCUUCACAUCCCCACAUUUAGCAUACAUGUCUACAAGGGCACUACACGUUAAUUCAUCUAAGUCAAAACCAAUAUGGAUAAUGAGUGAGUGAAUCUCUCUCCCUUCUCUCAUAGAAGAUAAGAUAGCACAUGCUCUAAGCACACUGACAAAUGUGGCUUGGUCAGGUAGCACAUUGCAGCUACGCAUCUCUUGAUAGAACUGCAAAGCCACAUAACUACAAUCAUUUUGAGCAAGUCCAGAAAUCAUUGCAGUCCACAAUAUAGUGCUUUUUGGUUUUGAAAUUUCUGAGAAGAGAAUAUUUGCAUCUUCUUUUCGUAGGGAGUUCAUGUACAUGCCCAAUAGUGAGAUGCCUAAGAAUUCAUCAUCAUACUGAAGGCCCCUCUUUAGAAUAAGACAGUGGAUUUGCCUUCCUAGAUUCAAUUGUUGAGGUCCACCACAUGCAUCUAAAAGGCUUGCAAAAGUUAUUUUGGAUGGACUUAAUCCUUCAGUUUGCAUCUCUUUAAAGAGUAUUAUUGCAUCUUCUAGAUUAAUAGUAGCAUACCCUGCGAUAAGGGCAUUCGUGGAGACCACACUCCACUCAGGCAUGCUUGCAAAUAUUUUAUGUGCAGAGCCAAUAGCACCACACUUAGCAUACAUGUCAAUAAGGGAGCUUCCAGCAUAAAGGCUCGUUUCUAGACCAGAUUUGACUGAGAGACAAUGCAUCUGUUUCCCCUGCUCGAUACCUUCAACAUUUGCACAGGCACUCAGUAUACUGGCCAGGGAGACUUCAUCAGGCAGAAUCCCAAGCAAAUGCAUUUUUUGGAACACAAGGAAUGCCUCAACCUCAUUUUCUUCCUGCACAUAUCCAACAAUAAUUGCAUUCCAAGAAACAUUGUCUCUGUACCUCAUGAGUUCAAAUUGUUGCCUUGCAUCCUCAAGCACACCAGAUUUAGCAUACAUAUCAACCAAUGCAUUUCCCACAAAUAAGUUUGAGGCAAAUUUACUCUUGAUGAUGACUGCAUGCAAUUGCCGACCCCCUUCCAGAAAUCUCAAGCAAGCACAUGCACUCAAAAUACUGGUAUAGGUAAAUUCAUCUGGAUGAAAACCACAGCUCUUCAUGUUGGAGAACAAUUCCAUGACUUCAUAGUAAUAUCCAUUUUGUGCAUAACCCCCAAGCAAUGAAUUCCACAAGACAACAUUUUGCUCAUCUAAAGCAUCAAAAACUUUUUUUGCUGCUUCAAUCUUCUCGCAUUUAGCAUACAUGCUAAUCAAUGAACUUCCAACAUAAACGUUAGAGUCUAACCCUUGUUUAACUGCCUCUGCAUGAACUAGCAAACCAAUGUCAAGAGCAGUUAAACUCGCAACUGCACUCAAUACACUUCCUAAUGUGGAUCUUGUGGACUUAAUACCAGAUUUCCUCAUAUUUUGGAAAAUCUCGAUAGCUUGUGCCUCAUAACCUCUCUGGGCAUGCCCUGAAAUCAUCACAUUCCAUGCAACAACAUUGGGGUUAGGCAUCUGGGAGAAUAAAUCGGAUGCCUCAUCAAGCCGUCCUAGACCAACAUAUGCAUUUAAGACAGUCACAAAUGCAAUUAGGUCUGGUUCCUGACCAACUUUCUUCAUCUCAUCAAACACUUUUAAGGCCUCCUCAGGCAAAGCAGCUUUAACAUACCCGGCAAUCAUUGAUGUCCAAGAAACUGUAUCCAAUUCUACUCCUUCAUCAAACACCCUUCGACAAUCACCCAUGCUAUUACACUUAGCAUACAUAUCAAUAAGAGCACCCUCGCAAAAAGAACCGGACUCGAAUCCCAUCUUAACAACAUUGCAAUGAACUUGUCUGCCACGUUCAACACUCUCCAAUCUAGCACAAGCUGAUAAAACAAUAGCAAAAGUGAACUCAUUAGGCCACACUCCAUGGCUCCACAAUGAUCCAUAAGACUUAAAAACCAUAUCCAAAAAUCCCAAUUUCGAAUAUAUUGAUAGAAUAGAGUUCCAAGCCAAUACAUCUCUAUUUUCAAGUCUAUUAAACACCUUCUCUGCAAAAUCCAAAUUGCCACACUUGGCAUAAAUAUCAAGAAUGGCGUUCCCUAAAGACCCCUUUGACCAAAACCCAAGUUUAAGGCUUUGGGCAUGGAUAAUUCUGCUGGUUGUUGAAAACUGCGAUAGCUUUUGAGGCGUUUCUUCGAACGUGUGGUGGGCUUUGACCUGUUUGCAUUUCCGGAGACACGACAGCAAGAUUUGGGUGUAUGUGUGGGGUUUAGGGGUCUGAAUAAGGUGGUUCGAGUCGCAUGGAAUAGUUGAAAAUGUGAGUUGGUGAAGACAGGAGUGUGAGUUUGAGGUGGGAGAUGUUUUGAAGAAAAAUCUGAGACGCAUUGCCUCUGCGAUGAUUCUAACAUGACUUGGUGAGGUCAGCAAGGUAAAAUGUCCGUGAAAAAACAGGUGCUAGAGAAGAAGAAGAUUAGCAUAUGCCUGAUGAGUACGAGAAGGGAGAGGCGAAGGUGU
rnacentral:misc_RNA from 1 species